rnacentral:tRNA from 1 species
UUAAUUGAAACCAAAAUAGAGGUAAAUCACUGUUAAUGAUUAAACUGGAGCCCCCCCAAUUAAC